rnacentral:tRNA from 1 species
CGGGAAGUAGCUCAGCUUGGUAGAGCACAUGGUUUGGGACCAUGGGGUCGCAGGUUCGAAUCCUGUCUUCCCGAC